rnacentral:rRNA from 1 species
AUACAGAGGUCCCAAGCGUUGUUCGGAUUCACUGGGCGUAAAGGGUGCGUAGGUGGCGGGGUAAGUUCGAUGUGAAAUCUCCGAGCUCAACUCGGAAACUGCAUUAAAUACUAUUCUGCUUGAGGAUCGGAUGGGAGACUGGAAUUUUCGGUGUAGCAGUGAAAUGCGUAGAUAUCCAGAGGAACACCAGUGGCGAAGGCGAGUCUCUGGACGAUUCCUGACACUGAGGCACGAAAGCUAGGGGAGCAAACAGGAUUAGAAACCCCAGUAGUCC